GGGGGUAUAGUUUAGCUAGAAUGCGGCUUUUGUAAUGCUGUGGUGUAUUUUUGUGCUGUCCCCU
rnacentral:tRNA from 1 species